rnacentral:lncRNA from 1 species
AAAUACAAAUUUUCUUAAGGGCUAUUCCAGAAAAAAAUGUAUGGGGGGGUUGGAAGGCAGUUUUUGUCAGCACCCGCCACCCAGACAAUUGUAAUUGAGAAUUAUAGUGCAUUAUAGUGUGAAAAGUUGCUCUGAUACCCAUCACCCAUGUAUUAUUAAUACAAUGUGCCUUCCAACCCCCCAUACAUUUUUUUCUGGAAUAGCCCUAAGGAAUUUA